UUAAGUUCAGCGGGUAUCCCUACCUGAUCCGAGGUCAACCUUGUUUAAAUGGUGUUUUUGACGGCGGCGAACACGCCCGGCCUCCUAAGCGAAUGAAAAUGCCACAACGCUUAGAGACGGACGGCUCGGCCGAAGACAUUAGGGCGCGCGGGGGGGCCGCGGCGCCCAAUACCAAGCCAGGCUUGAGUGGUGAAAUGACG
rnacentral:misc_RNA from 1 species